CCUACUGGCAGAAGUGGAGGCCAUCCUCAAUUCUCGGCCCCUAACACCGUUGAGCCAGGACCCCAACGACGGCGAGGCACUAACCCCAGCGCAUCUGCUGAUAGGGUGCUCCCUACGAGCAUUACCUCCAGAGCAAGUGCCAGUGGACCCAGUUCGUUGUUGCGAGAGAUGGCAACUUGUUUGCUGUCUCAAGCAACAGUUCUGGCGACAGUGGUCCAAAGUAUACCUGACGGGACUUCAGGAACGCAACAAGUGGCUGCACCCCACUCGCAAUCUGCAGCUCAACGACCUCGUCCUCGUCCACGAGGACAACGUGCCGCCACAGCAGUGGGUACUCGGCCGCGUCGUCGCCACCGUCGAAGGGCAAGACGGCAAGGUGCGAGUCGCAGACGUGGCGACUAAGGCGGGCACAAUUAAGCGUCCCAUUCACAAGCUGGCCUUGCUUCCAAUGGAGGUUGAAGGAAAUUGAUCCUGUCAAGGUGGCCGGUGUUGCAUCAAGCGACAUAUCUACAAAUUUAUAAAAAUUACAAAUUUAUUAAAAUUAUAAAAUUUUGAAUUAUAAAAAUUAUAAAAAUAUUGAAUUGUUAAAAAUUAAAUUAAGAAAAUCUAUUGUAUACUUACCUUAAUAAUCCAUUUGUAAUACUCACCUUACUUACCUCAACGUAAUCUAUUACAAUAUUGAACAUAAGUUGAAGAUAAUCAUAUUUACCCCUUUUUUAAUACACAAAUACAUGGCAUCAAUAUAUAUAGAUAGCUGGGAUGCCAAUUUACGUAUUUGUGUUCUAUCCGACUACCGGACUAUACACUGUCGCGUUAGGAACAAUCUCUGGAUUCAGAUUCAGAGAUCCCAAAAUGGGUUGAGUUAGACAAGUCCCUAACCAAACGGGUUAAAACGGUUGAGAGAGUAUCAAACCUCAAAGGCGAGUUGAGUACUCAACCUAAUAUUAAGUCGGCUGAUGGUGAAGGUCGGAUCCCAACCUUACAGUCAAGGAUUGGAUCCAAACCCAUCAGUUUCCAUCACGCCAAGACAAACAAUAUUAAAUGUAAACUGUGCUCAUCUCAAUCGCACAUUUUGAAAAAUUGUCAAAGAUUUAUUGAGAAGCAGCCUAAUGCACGAUUAAAUGAUGCCGGAAAACUCCACGUCUGCUUAAAUUGUUUAUCAGACUCACAUGAAGUCAAAAAUUGUAAAAGUAUGUUUAAUUGUAAUAAAUGUAAACAGAGACAUCACUCUAUGAUUCACCGGGAUCAGAGUGAGGAAAUAACUUAGAUGUCCGACAGUACAGACAAUACUGAUAUUUCUACUAAGUCUCAUAUGGCCUCUAUUAAUGCCAAUGUCUGAAAUGUGCCUACUAGUCGAAGCAUGCUCUUAGGUACAGCCAUGGUGCCCAUAUGUCACAACGAGAGCAUCUUCACUGUCUGAGCCCUGAUCGAUUCGGGAUCUAAAGGAACCUUCGUAAGCAAUAGUCAACAAACACGCUUAAAUCUGACAUGCAAAAAGGUCAGCACCCGAGUUUCAGGAUUGAAUAAUACCGUGUCAGGACGAGUUCAAUCGGCAUGCCCGAUCACAAUUGGCUCGCCCCGUAACAAAAGUUUAAAACUAGAAGCGGAAGCUUUGGUACUGCCAAAAUUGACUGGACUGCUUCCAUCCAGAUCAAUUAACCCUUCAAUUGUCAAAAGGUUACCCAAUAUCCCCUUACCGGAUAAUAAUUUCUAUACGAGUCAAAAGGUUGACUUGUUGAUCGGAGCAGAUCUUUACCCGAAGAUAAAUGGCAAAGGCGACGGACAAAAUUCAACAAUAAUUCAACAAAAAACACAAAAUCAUUUUUGUAAAGAAAAUAUUUCUAAUUUUAUAUUUAAACAACAACAACGACAACAACAACAUCAUCAGCAGCAAAAACACAAUAGCAAUCAGCCUAAACCAUUUGCAUUGCCACCAGGGACCACGGAAGAGUCACAAAAUCGCACCAAAUUAAUAAUACAAAAUGCAUUGGCAGAACCAGACCAGAAAAUUCCGCUAUCUUUAGUAAACCAAUGGCAAAAAUUAAUGGCUCUAAGUCAACACCAUUGUCAGAGAUGGAAGGCCAAAUAUUUAAAGGAACUCCAGAAACGAGUGGACAGAAAGUCCAACUACACGACCUAGUGGUAGUUCGUGAUCAAAAUUUACCUCCAAAUGAAUGGAGAUUAGGCAGGAUAAUCAAAGUACAUCCAAGGUUGGACCAACGAGUUCGAGUGGUGGACAUCCAAACUCAAUGUAGCUUAAUUUCUAGGCCGAUAACAAGAAUUAUAAUUUUACCCAAUCAAUGUUAAUUUUCUCACCUUAAUAAUCCUUCUUUUCGUUUAGAACAUUAUUGAAAAUUACAACAAUCAACUGCCCCCUAUGCGUAGAUAGCCAUCUACUCCGCUGGUGCCCAAAGUUCCGGCAGAUGUUCCCAGAAGUUAGGCUGAAGACUACAUUGAUCCACCGAUAUUGCAGCAACUGCCUCGCGUCGAGCCAUUCAAAGAAUGAAUGCGACAGUGUAAUACGCUGCAAACGUUGCGGCAACCCACACCACACGAUGGCAUCAGUUCAGACGCCGAAGAACAAGACGACGAUGUCAUUGAAUUGACAUGGGCACAGCAGGUCGAGGCAGCGGAAAUAGAGGAAAAUUCGUUGAAAAUUAGCACGACGGAUUCGGAGCCCUAUCAACUACGUCAACCGACGUCAACAGUGAGUGCCCAAAUACGACGUUGUCCGUUACCACCGACGCCAGUAAGGUCUUUGGAAGACCAUUUAUUUCAAGAAUUCCGCAACCUAUGACUGGCAGAUAACGAAUUCCACAGGCCAGAACCAGUCGAAUUAAUCUUGGAAGCGGACGUUCACUCCCGGCUCAUGUUGCCCGGGUUAAAACCAGCGGCAAUGGGCCAACUCAUCGCCCAAAAUACGACACUAGGAUAUAUAAUAUCCGGUGUUGUAUAGUAUCGGUACAAUAAAGUGCACUGGCUGCCAACGCCUCUCACAUUUACCGCCUACCCAGGAUGGAGUUAGACUCGAGUCGUUUCGGCGACCUCGGAAGGUGGUGACUUCGAUGCAAAUUUGCGGCAUGGCAAUAAUCGACUGAGACUCGAUUCAUCUCAGCGGCAUUUCCCGGACCGAACCAGACUCGAUUCGUCUCGUCGGCCACCCCAUCUGCAAAGACGUGGAAGAGGAAGUGCAGGAAGCCAGUUAGUUAAGUUUGUUUAAAGUAAUUUAUUGUAAACUGCAUUUACAGUAAUACUGCAAGGCGGGGAGAAUGUUGGCCCUGCCGCCGCCCAAUUUCUUUUGCCACGUAUGUAUCGGCAGAGCAAUCUUUUCUUUUCCUCUUCUUCGAAGUUUUAAUUCGCGCGCAACUAAACACUAACUAAAAAAGUUGCGCGCUUUCUUCUUUUGCGACAGCCCUGCGUUACAGACGUGGUAAGUGGGUUUCCAAUUUGUUAUAUUAAGAAUAUAUAUAUUAUAUGAAACCUUUUGUUUUAUUUAAUAUUUGUGGAAUCAUUUGCGCCGACCGUUUCCCUACGGCCAACCACAACUACGGAAAGAGUCACACCGUGCUCCACCACCCGAAUUAUCACAGGGUGUGCUGGUUUUUCCCAGAUGGAGUGAGGGGAGGCUUAGCUCAUUUAAACAUAUGCAAAUAUCCCAAACCCCAUAAGACAGCGGCAACUAUAAAUGCAAUACAAUUACCACAACAGCCGGUUCUACGUUACCAGAAUUGAUCAGGAUUUUAUUCGGCCAAGGGCUGUAUUUUUGGAGAUCUAACCCCGUUUAAAUGGGGUAAGUUUUAGUAUAAGAUUGUCAUCACUAGAGCAACGCCUUGACUCUUGCUGGCAUUGAGUCUAACCCGGGCCUUAAAGAAUUUUCAUGUUGCGCCUGCAUCAAAAGGAUUCACCCAAACUCCACACAGAGAAAAAUAUGGCUAAUAAAAAUAAAAAGAUUGUCUCUAUGAUCAGUUGCAGGGACCAAGAAGAAGACUGAAGUCAAAGACGAAGAUAUUUUCAUAGAGAUUUCUUCUUAUUUAUAUGUAGGAAAUCUUCUUAUUUUUAUUUAAAAGUUUAUCUGCUUAAAAUAAUGAGAAAACUUCUUGUUCGAUAAAUUCUGUCUAAAUGUAGGAGAAGGCGGUGAGAAGAGAAGGGAAGCGUACCGCUACAAGUUCCAUUGAUUUCUGUUGACAUCUUUCCAUACUCUUGAAUUCAAAAAGUAACUGAAGUGUAUGAAAGAAAAUAGAAAACAAAAACGAAAUGUAAAUAUAAGCAACAAUAACAUAAUUAAUGUGUUGAGCACGCAACCAUAACAUACAUUAUACGCGUCGAAGUGCACGGGAUGUAGCCUUGCGUAUAUUAGUUAAAAAAAGAGCAAAUGCACAAACAAAAACAAACUAUUCACAAGCAUAAGCAUUUCAAUGUCGCCAAUCAUAACUGUAUUUCUAUCGGCUAGUGUUUUUGCAUGCUUAAGAUGAUGCAAUAAUUAUUGGGCAUCAGUCAGUAUUAACGUGAGUGUGGCCCGACGCGUGUCUUAUAAAAAUUGUAAAAUGGAUAUAUUCAGUUCGAAUGAAAAUAGUAUCGCUCCUUGCACAUUAGAUGCAAUUGAAACGCUGCCCAUUUUUAAAUCAUGGGAGUUAAAUGAUGAUAUUUGCUCCAUUCUUGUGGACUACGGAGUGACAUCAACGAUAAUUUUAACAAAAAUGGAUUGGGAAGAUAUCGACUGUUUAUUUGAAAAGUUUCCAACAAAAUUUUUUGGCGAAUGCAUUUAAACGGGAUUAAGAAAAUGGAGGAAGAACAUGGUAAGUGCAGCAUAAUUUAAUAACUUCUUUGGUGUACAUUUAUGCAAGCAUUUUUAGAAUAUACCGCUUGUACGUGAUGCAAGCACCUUAUCUGCGAGUAGUCGAAUUUUGGAGUGGUUAGAGAAAAUUUCUGACGACUUAAAUGCAGCUAAAAGUUCAAGAGAUUCUUCACCAGUACUCCAGCCAACGUAUGAUAACUGCAUGGACAGUCGCAGCUUAACCGACCUUUUAAAAGGUACGGUUAAAGGGCAGCUUGUGCUUCAUUUUCAGCAGAAAAAUGUUUUCUUGGACGCCAAGCAGCAGAAUACAUUGUGUCACUGCGUAAUAGAGAAUUAUAUAGAAAGGCGGAAAAAACUGACAUAUGGAGAAAUGCAAAAGUGGGCCAACAUCAUCUGCGAUGUAUUCCCCAAAGAGAAUCCGGAAACAUAUUUUCUAGCAAGGAAAUAUGGUAAGAAAAAUCCUACGGGAAAGCUAUUUUCACGCUGGACGAAUGCUGACAAAACCAAUUAUAAAAAGUUUUCAACCGAUCGUACAACUGCCGCUUCGCCUGCAGCUUUAUCCAGCGAUAAGUAUUACGAAAAGAAGUGCUGGCUGCAGAAUAAUUGCACACCAUGGGAACAGGUUAUUGAUUACUGGAAGGAGACAUAUGGUCAAAGAAUUAUAGAUAUCCAUAACGCCAGUUCUUUAAGCUGCAUUUUUAGUGAAUGGCCGCGCUAUAAGGACUUUCGUUGAUAUGAACUUGUAUAAAUACGCUUUGAGACUCUUUACCCCGGGAAAGGAAAUAUGUUAUUUUUGAAAUUGGAGAAGUUUUAUAAAGAAAUCCUCAAAAUUUUUGAUAGAGAUAUAAAAGACCGUGUUUCAAGGGAACUAUUCUUAAAGUAUUUGCACAUUGACAACAUCUCAAGUGAAUGUAAAUAUUGUAUAAGUACAAUUCUUCUACAUGCUUUGCUACAGCCUUUGAGGCUUAAUAAGGACAAAAAACCAACAAUAGCUGAUGCCCAAACAGAUUUCGUAACACUCGUUGCAACACGUAAUGAUAUUCAACC